GGCGGCGUGCCUAAUCAUGCAAGUCGAGCGAAUGGAUUAAGAGCUUGCUCUUAUGAAGUUAGCGGCGGACGGGUGAGUAACACGUGGGUAACCUGCCCAUAAGACUGGGAUAACUCCGGGAAACCGGGGCUAAUACCGGAUAACAUUUUGAACCGCAUGGUUCGAAAUUGAAAGGCGGCUUCGGCUGUCACUUAUGGAUGGACCCGCGUCGCAUUAGCUAGUUGGUGAGGUAACGGCUCACCAAGGCAACGAUGCGUAGCCGACCUGAGAGGGUGAUCGGCCACACUGGGACUGAGACACGGCCCAGACUCCUACGGGAGGCAGCAGUAGGGAAUCUUCCGCAAUGGACGAAAGUCUGACGGAGCAACGCCGCGUGAGUGAUGAAGGCUUUCGGGUCGUAAAACUCUGUUGUUAGGGAAGAACAAGUGCUAGUUGAAUAAGCUGGCACCUUGACGGUACCUAACCAGAAAGCCACGGCUAACUACGUGCCAGCAGCCGCGGUAAUACGUAGGUGGCAAGCGUUAUCCGGAAUUAUUGGGCGUAAAGCGCGCGCAGGUGGUUUCUUAAGUCUGAUGUGAAAGCCCACGGCUCAACCGUGGAGGGUCAUUGGAAACUGGGAGACUUGAGUGCAGAAGAAGAAAGUGGAAUUCCAUGUGUAGCCGGGAAAUGCCUAGAGAUAUGGAGGAACACCGGGGGGGAAAGCGACUUUUUUGUCUGUGACUGACACUGAGGCGGCGAAACCGGGGGGGGCAAAUGGAGAGAUACCCCGGGAGAUAAAAAAANNCNNCNCNNUNNNUCNNUNCCCNCCCCCCCCUGCCCCCCCUCCCCCCCUUCUUUGUCUUUNUCUUUNUUU
rnacentral:rRNA from 1 species